AGGAUCCAAAUUUGGAGUUUUUGAGGAAAUUUGGAAUUGGGUUAGUCUCAGGAACAAUAGCCUCAAUUAUUAACAUUCCUUUUGAUGUUGCAAAAAGUAGGAUUCAAGGACCACAGCCAGUUCCUGGAGAGAUCAAGUACAGAACCUGUUUUAAAACUAUGGCAACAGUCUAUAAAGAGGAAGGAUUUCUGGCUCUGUACAAAGGCUUGCUUCCCAAGAUCAUGAGGCUUGGUCCAGGUGGUGCAGUGAUGCUUUUGAUUUACGAAUACGUUUAUGCAUGGCUUCAGGACACAGUUAAUCACAAGUAGCACUUCUGAAAAAUGUACUCUUUAAAAUUAUAUGCAUUCUAAAAUCCACUUCAAUAAAGUAAAAGUUAUUCUUAUCCUUUAUGGUGUUGAAUGCCCUCAGAUUGCACUGAUGUUAAUAAGUUCAAAGCAAAGUUGGUCUUCAGGUCAUGAUCCAAGAAAAAAUUUAAACACGUGCUUUUCUGUAAGUGCAUAACUAAAUAGCAUUGUUGAUAUUUGUAAUUGUUUUGCUGGAUCAAGAGAAAAUAUAAAGGAGACAUAGGGAAAAGUUAGUUUUUAAAGGAAUUCUUGUCUGAGAAUCAUCUUGUAUAGCUAUACACUUUUUUAAAAGUUUCAACUGAAAUAGCAAGAUAAUAACAUUCAGGGGAUUUUCAAGAAAAAAAAUGAAUAAUCCUGGGGGACCAGAUACUAAGCUAGUAUAAACUGACAGCUCCAUUAACUCCACAUUAAGAACAUGACCCAUACUCUGCAGCUCUCGAGUAAUCUUGGGUCCAGUUUCAGUUAGCCCAGUGUGAUUUCAGCAGUCAUAGAAGAACUUUUUAAGUUGUUGGGAGUUCAGAUAGGAAAAGGACAGCCACAACCUUAAAAAUACGCAUACCAUUAAAUAUCCUACUUGCUCCUAUAUUGUAGAAAUCUCAUUCAGGCCACAGAAGAUACUGAAAAUAAUUAGUCUGAAUCAAGUUACGUAAAAAAUGCAAAACAACAUGGGACUCGUAGAAGAAAUGAGUAAACAAAUAAGCAGAAAAAAGUAAUUUCAGGCAUAUGAAAUUUUACUGUGAAUUUUUUAUCCACCAUCAUAUACUAUUGCUAAAAGAUCUGGCCUGUGAUAAAAGUGCUCAGUGCACCCUGACUGCCCCUUUAGCCUUUCAUUUCCAUCAUGGGGUGGUGAAAAAAUUUCCCGACUGAUAACACACACGCAGUUGUAAUUAGUUAGCUGUGCACCUCAAAGAAAUGUACUUUUCCGUAGAUAAAAAAAUGCUAGAAUUGUUACUUUUCCCAGUCACUGUAAAUAUAAAUAAUAUUUCAGAGAUGUACUCAUGUCUUUACUAGACAUUAUAAAUAUCUCUGUAAAAUACAGUAAAUUCUGUUAUGCUGACUGAAAAUAUGGUUUCUGCUCAUGCAGUUGUGCCAUUCUACAUUUUCUUUUAAAAGAACUCUUUCAAUAACUUAAAAUUACACAUUAUUCUGUUAUAAAAGUGUUCCCAUUAUAUAACUUGGUUGGUUGUCAAAUGAGUAUAUAUCUUGUAAUUGCUGAAAGUUUCUGUAACUCCUCAUGCUACAUUCACACUGUUAAUUUUAAUCGUUCUUUCUCUUAACGAGGUACAAACCUGCUAAAAAAAUAUCUUUCCACAUUGUUACUUGAAAAUGACAGUUCAUGUGAAAAGUCUCAUCUCACAGGGGUUUUUAGUGCAUUAAAAAAGCAAAAAAAACCUAAAAAUAGAAAUGCAUUUUCAGCACUUUCAAGGAUGCCUGUAUUGACAUGCUCAAUAAACCUCUUUUUUGUCUGAAUUUGGCAAC